rnacentral:rRNA from 1 species
GGUUAAGCGACUAAGCGUACACGGUGGAUGCCCUGGCAGUCAGAGGCGAUGAAGGACGUGCUAAUCUGCGAUAAGCGUCGGUAAGGUGAUAUGAACCGUUAUAACCGGCGAUUUCCGAAUGGGGAAACCCAGUGUGUUUCGACACACUAUCAUUAACUGAAUCCAUAGGUUAAUGAGGCGAACCGGGGGAACUGAAACAUCUAAGUACCCCGAGGAAAAGAAAUCAACCGAGAUUCCCCCAGUAGCGGCGAGCGAACGGGGAGCAGCCCAGAGCCUGAAUCAGUGUGUGUGUUAGUGGAAGCGUCUGGAAAGGCGCGCGAUACAGGGUGACAGCCCCGUACACAAAAAUGCACAUAUUGUGAGCUCGAUGAGUAGGGCGGGACACGUGGUAUCCUGUCUGAAUAUGGGGGGACCAUCCUCCAAGGCUAAAUACUCCUGACUGACCGAUAGUGAACCAGUACCGUGAGGGAAAGGCGAAAAGAACCCCGGCGAGGGGAGUGAAAAAGAACCUGAAACCGUGUACGUACAAGCAGUGGGAGCCUCUUUUAUGGGGUGACUGCGUACCUUUUGUAUAAUGGGUCAGCGACUUAUAUUCUGUAGCAAGGUUAACCGAAUAGGGGAGCCGAAGGGAAACCGAGUCUUAACUGGGCGUUAAGUUGCAGGGUAUAGACCCGAAACCCGGUGAUCUAGCCAUGGGCAGGUUGAAGGUUGGGUAACACUAACUGGAGGACCGAACCGACUAAUGUUGAAAAAUUAGCGGAUGACUUGUGGCUGGGGGUGAAAGGCCAAUCAAACCGGGAGAUAGCUGGUUCUCCCCGAAAGCUAUUUAGGUAGCGCCUCGUGAAUUCAUCUCCGGGGGUAGAGCACUGUUUCGGCAAGGGGGUCAUCCCGACUUACCAACCCGAUGCAAACUGCGAAUACCGGAGAAUGUUAUCACGGGAGACACACGGCGGGUGCUAACGUCCGUCGUGAAGAGGGAAACAACCCAGACCGCCAGCUAAGGUCCCAAAGUCAUGGUUAAGUGGGAAACGAUGUGGGAAGGCCCAGACAGCCAGGAUGUUGGCUUAGAAGCAGCCAUCAUUUAAAGAAAGCGUAAUAGCUCACUGGUCGAGUCGGCCUGCGCGGAAGAUGUAACGGGGCUAAACCAUGCACCGAAGCUGCGGCAGCGACACUAUGUGUUGUUGGGUAGGGGAGCGUUCUGUAAGCCUGUGAAGGUGUGCUGUGAGGCAUGCUGGAGGUAUCAGAAGUGCGAAUGCUGACAUAAGUAACGAUAAAGCGGGUGAAAAGCCCGCUCGCCGGAAGACCAAGGGUUCCUGUCCAACGUUAAUCGGGGCAGGGUGAGUCGACCCCUAAGGCGAGGCCGAAAGGCGUAGUCGAUGGGAAACAGGUUAAUAUUCCUGUACUUGGUGUUACUGCGAAGGGGGGACGGAGAAGGCUAUGUUGGCCGGGCGACGGUUGUCCCGGUUUAAGCGUGUAGGCUGGUUUUCCAGGCAAAUCCGGAAAAUCAAGGCUGAGGCGUGAUGACGAGGCACUACGGUGCUGAAGCAACAAAUGCCCUGCUUCCAGGAAAAGCCUCUAAGCAUCAGGUAACAUCAAAUCGUACCCCAAACCGACACAGGUGGUCAGGUAGAGAAUACCAAGGCGCUUGAGAGAACUCGGGUGAAGGAACUAGGCAAAAUGGUGCCGUAACUUCGGGAGAAGGCACGCUGAUAUGUAGGUGAAGCGACUUGCUCGUGGAGCUGAAAUCAGUCGAAGAUACCAGCUGGCUGCAACUGUUUAUUAAAAACACAGCACUGUGCAAACACGAAAGUGGACGUAUACGGUGUGACGCCUGCCCGGUGCCGGAAGGUUAAUUGAUGGGGUUAGCGCAAGCGAAGCUCUUGAUCGAAGCCCCGGUAAACGGCGGCCGUAACUAUAACGGUCCUAAGGUAGCGAAAUUCCUUGUCGGGUAAGUUCCGACCUGCACGAAUGGCGUAAUGAUGGCCAGGCUGUCUCCACCCGAGACUCAGUGAAAUUGAACUCGCUGUGAAGAUGCAGUGUACCCGCGGCAAGACGGAAAGACCCCGUGAACCUUUACUAUAGCUUGACACUGAACAUUGAGCCUUGAUGUGUAGGAUAGGUGGGAGGCUUUGAAGUGUGGACGCCAGUCUGCAUGGAGCCGACCUUGAAAUACCACCCUUUAAUGUUUGAUGUUCUAACGUUGACCCGUGAUCCGGGUUGCGGACAGUGUCUGGUGGGUAGUUUGACUGGGGCGGUCUCCUCCUAAAGAGUAACGGAGGAGCACGAAGGUUGGCUAAUCCUGGUCGGACAUCAGGAGGUUAGUGCAAUGGCAUAAGCCAGCUUGACUGCGAGCGUGACGGCGCGAGCAGGUGCGAAAGCAGGUCAUAGUGAUCCGGUGGUUCUGAAUGGAAGGGCCAUCGCUCAACGGAUAAAAGGUACUCCGGGGAUAACAGGCUGAUACCGCCCAAGAGUUCAUAUCGACGGCGGUGUUUGGCACCUCGAUGUCGGCUCAUCACAUCCUGGGGCUGAAGUAGGUCCCAAGGGUAUGGCUGUUCGCCAUUUAAAGUGGUACGCGAGCUGGGUUUAGAACGUCGUGAGACAGUUCGGUCCCUAUCUGCCGUGGGCGCUGGAGAACUGAGGGGGGCUGCUCCUAGUACGAGAGGACCGGAGUGGACGCAUCACUGGUGUUCGGGUUGUCAUGCCAAUGGCACUGCCCGGUAGCUAAAUGCGGAAGAGAUAAGUGCUGAAAGCAUCUAAGCACGAAACUUGCCCCGAGAUGAGUUCUCCCUGACCCUUUAAGGGUCCUGAAGGAACGUUGAAGACGACGACGUUGAUAGGCCGGGUGUGUAAGCGCAGCGAUGCGUUGAGCUAACCGGUACUAAUGAACCGUGAGGCUUAACCUU